CAGUCGCCACGGUAAUACGUAGGUGGCAAGCGUUGUCCGGAAUUAUUGGGCGUAAAGGGCUCGCAGGCGGUUUCUUAAGUCUGAUGUGAAAGCCCCCGGCUCAACCGGGGAGGGUCAUUGGAAACUGGGAAACUUGAGUGCAGAAGAGGAGAGUGGAAUUCCACGUGUAGCGGUGAAAUGCGUAGAGAUGUGGAGGAACACCGGUGGCGAAAGCGGCUCUCUGGCUUGUAACUGACGCUGAGGCUCGAAAGCGUGGGGAGCAAACAGGAUUAGAUACCCCCGUAGUCCCUGUCUCUUAUAC
rnacentral:rRNA from 1 species